UACGGGGGGGGCAAGCGUUGUUCGGAAUUACUGGGCGUAAAGGGCUCGUAGGCGGCCAACUAAGUCAGACGUGAAAUCCCUCGGCUUAACCGGGGAACUGCGUCUGAUACUGGAUGGCUUGAAUCCGGGAGAGGGAUGCGGAAUUCCAGGUGUAGCGGUGAUAUGCGUAGAUAUCGGGAGGAACACCUGUGGCGAAGGCGGCUUUCUGGGCCCUACCUGACGCUGAGACGCGAAAGCGUGGGGAGCGAACCGG
rnacentral:rRNA from 1 species